CCUAAAUGCGGUCAAAGCGGGCAAAUUCGCCGUGGGUGCCUUCCUUCCCUACCUCCGGCCCACUCUGGUUGCUCCUUCCCAGGUGCUCCAAGCUCUCCAGAGUUUCUGGUGGUUUAAAGUUUCCGCUUCACGCCCAGACUGCUCUAAGGGCAAACACGACCCCUUUCCUCUUCUAGGACCCCUUCCGUGAAGUCUGUUCCAACCCUGAGCCUCUCCACCUUCGAGAUUGGCCGCAGAUGCCCCGACGGGAUGGCCUGGGGAGCCGAAAGCUGUCCCCAGCCCCGGACAGCUACUGCCCACGCCGCGCAGGCCAGCCUCACACAGUAGCGAAUCUCCUUCACGCGACUUCCUCGCAGGCCUGUGAACCCGCAGGGGAGGCGGAGGUCGGUUCAAACCCUGCGAGAGCCCCUGCCCAGCGCGGAGUCCUGCACACGGUGGAAAGUCCUUACGCAUUAGCGGGCAGGAUUAAACGACUUCACACCACGAGGUGCAAGACUGGGCUUCGGGGCCUUCCUCGGUGUUGCUAUUUUAAAAGAAGCUGCUCAGUAACCCAGAAGAAGAUGACGGGGGACGG
rnacentral:lncRNA from 1 species